UACGGAGGGGGCUAGCGUUGUUCGGAAUUACUGGGCGUAAAGAGCUCGUAGGCGGUUUGUCGCGUCUGCUGUGAAAACUGGAGGCUCAACCUCCAGCCUGCAGUGGGUACGGGCAAACUAGAGUGCGGUAGGGGAGAUUGGAAUUCCUGGUGUAGCGGUGGAAUGCGCAGAUAUCAGGAGGAACACCGAUGGCGAAGGCAGAUCUCUGGGCCGUAACUGACGCUGAGGAGCGAAAGCAUGGGGAGCGAACAGG
rnacentral:rRNA from 1 species